AUUGAACGCUGGCGGAAUGCUUUACACAUGCAAGUCGAGCGGCAGCGCGGGGCAACCUGGCGGCGAGCGGCGAACAGGUGAGUAACACAUCGGAACGUACCCAGUCGUGGGGGAUAACACAUCGAAAGAUGUGCUAAUACCGCAUACGACCUGAGGGUGAAAGGGGGGGAUCGCAAGACCUCUCGCGAUUGGAGCGGCCGAUGGCGGAUUAGCUAGUUGGUGAGGUAAAGGCUCACCAAGGCGACGAUCCGUAGCUGGUCUGAGAGGACGACCGGCCACACUGGAACUGAGACACGGUCCAGACUCCUACGGGAGGCAGCAGUGGGGAAUUUUGGACAAUGGGGGCAACCCUGAUCCAGCCAUUCCGCGUGUGCGAUGAAGGCCUUCGGGUUGUAAAGCACUUUUGGCAGGAAAGAAAUCGCACGGAUUAAUACUCUGUGUGGAUGACGGUACCUGCAGAAUAAGCACCGGCUAACUACGUGCCAGCCGCCGCAGUAA
rnacentral:rRNA from 1 species